UACCGAGUUUACAACUCCCAAACCCCUGUGAACAUACCUAUCGUUGCUUCGGCGGGAUCGCCCCGGUGCCCUCGGGCCCGGAUCCAGGCGCCCGCCGGAGGACCCAAACUCUUGUUUCUAUGAGUAUCUUCUGAGUAACAAGCAAAUAAAUUAAAACUUUCAACAACGGAUCUCUUGGUUCUGGCAUCGAUGAAGAACGCAGCGAAAUGCGAUAAGUAAUGUGAAUUGCAGAAUUCCGUGAAUCAUCGAAUCUUUGAACGCACAUUGCGCCCGCCAGUAUUCUGGCGGGCAUGCCUGUUCGAGCGUCAUUUCAACCCUCAAGCCCCCGGGCUUGGUGUUGGGGCUCGGCCCGUCCCUUCGCGGCGCGCCGUCUCCGAAAUCUAGUGGCGGUCUCGCUGUAGCCUCCUCUGCGUAGUAGCUAACACCUCGCAACGGGAACGCAGCGCGGCCACGCCGUUAAACCCCCCACUUCUGAAGGUUGACCUCGGAUCAGGUAGGAAUACCCGCUGAACUUAAGCAUAUCAAUAAGCGGAGGAAAAGAAACCAACAGGGAUUGCCCUAGUAACGGCGAGUGAAGCGGCAACAGCUCAAAUUUGAAAUCUGGCCCUCGGGUCCGAGUUGUAAUUUGUAGAGGAUGCUUUUGGUGCGGUGCCUUCCGAGUUCCCUGGAACGGGACGCCAUAGAGGGUGAGAGCCCCGUCUGGUUGGAUACCAAUCCUCUGUAAAGCUCCUUCGACGAGUCGAGUAGUUUGGGAAUGCUGCUCAAAAUGGGAGGUAUAUGUCUUCUAAAGCUAAAUACC
rnacentral:rRNA from 1 species